rnacentral:rRNA from 1 species
GACGAACGCUGGCGGCGUGCUUAACACAUGCAAGUCGAACGGAAAGGCCCUGCUUUUGUGGGGUGCUCGAGUGGCGAACGGGUGAGUAACACGUGAGUAACCUGCCCUUGACUUUGGGAUAACUUCAGGAAACUGGGGCUAAUACCGGAUAGGAGCUCCUGCUGCAUGGUGGGGGUUGGAAAGUUUCGGCGGGUGGGGUUGGACUCGCGGCUUAUCAGCUUGUUGGUGGGGUAGUGGCUUACCAAGGCUUGGACGGGUAGCCGGCCUGGGAGGGUGAACGGCGUCAUUGGGACUGAGAGACGGACCAGACUCGUACGGGAGGCAGCAGUGGGGAAUAUUGUACAAUGGGCGGGAGCCUGAUGCAGAGACCCCGCGUGCGGGAUGACGGCCUUCGGGUUGUAAACCGCUUUCGCCUGUGACGAAGCGGGCGUGACGGUAAUGGGUAAAGAAGCACCGGCUAACUACGUG